GAUGAACGCUAGCGGCAGGCUUAACACAUGCAAGUCGAGGGGUAUAGGUUUUCGGACCUAGAGACCGGCGCACGGGUGCGUAACGCGUAUGCAAUCUACCUUUUACAGAGGGAUAGCCCAGAGAAAUUUGGAUUAAUACCUCAUAGUAUAGUACAACCGCAUGGUUGAACUAUUAAAGUCACAACGGUAAGAGAUGAGCAUGCGUCCCACUAGCUUGUUGGUAAGGUAACGGCUUACCAAGGCGACGAUGGGUAGGGGUCCUGAGAGGGAGAUCCCCCACACUGGUACUGAGACACGGACCAGACUCCUACGGGAGGCAGCAGUGAGGAAUAUUGGUCAAUGGGCGCAAGCCUGAACCAGCCAUGCCGCGUGCAGGAUGACGGUCCUAUGGAUUGUAAACUGCUUUUGUACAGGAAGAAACAGCUCUACGUGUGGAACCUUGACGGUACUGUAAGAAUAAGGAUCGGCUAACUCCGUGCCAGCCGCCGCCGUAACAC
rnacentral:rRNA from 1 species